ACCACACCAAAUUCAACAUUAAGGGCCAACCCUGACCACAGCUGAGCCGUGUGAAGAGGCUGACAGCGGCGUGGCCACCACCCAGGAUGGAGAGAAAGGCACUGUGAGGUGUUAAUGGAAAAAUCCAACUUCCUUUUCUUCCAAAGAUGAUGACUGAAACCAAAGUGGAGCUUUCCCUUGUGAAGUGAAAGCAAAGUUUUAAAAUUUUUUCUCCUCUGCAAGAAAAUAUAUUUCAGAAAAUCUCUAUCUCAAAAAUGAAGCAAUUAAGAACUGUCUGGCUGUGAGGAUCUGGCCUCAACUUGACUUAAAGCAACAACUUCAGUUACAUAUCAAGAUGAAACUUUCUGAGAUGCAAGUGGGUGUUAAAUGGUUCAGCAAAGCCAAGCCAGAGCAGUUGGUGUGCUUUGAAAUGAAGCAACAUUGGAAAAAUGAAAUCUACUGAAAGAUCACUACGUGUUUCAAAGGCCUUCAGACUCAGACUGGAACUGCACCGUUGGCUCUCCUGGGUGGGUCUCCAGCUUGCUGACCACAGACCUUGAGACUUCUCAGCCUUUAGAAUCAUGGAAGCCAAUUCCUUAUAAUAAUAUAUAUCCUUUUCCUAGUCUGUGGACUUUUCCCAGCUCCAGACAGACAACCUUCUAUAAACUCCAGGAUGCUCCAUCAAUGCCGUCUGGACUCUACAGAUUUUGACCCUGAAGUAAAGUAGGAAAGGCUAUGAGGACAUGUUAAAUGUUGUACUACCGCCUGAAGCCUUUUCUUCUUUAAAUUUUUCAACAAGAGUUGAAUGCACACGUGGAGCUUAAUUGGACAACAACUUUUCUCCUCUUCUGUGGGAUCCCGUCAGUGCUUUAAGCAAUGAGAAGGCAGCUCAUUUCCAAGUUUGUGUGGUAAAUUUGGGGCAAGUGGGAGAAAAGAAAGAAAGGCUGAGUCUUAUAGGGUGUGAUUUGGUUCUAGACAUGCUUAUGUUACUUUUUAUAAGAUUAUCCAUUUGACUAGAUUUCUUUCCUGCUGACAAAAGAGGCAAUUUCUACAUAUAAAAUAAAUCUGAUUAAAACUCUU
rnacentral:lncRNA from 1 species